rnacentral:rRNA from 1 species
GGAAGUCUUCGGCAAUGGACGAAAGUCUGACCGAGCAACGCCGCGUGAGUGAAGAAGGUUUUCGGAUCGUAAAACUCUGUUGUUAGAGAAGAACAAGGGUGAGAGUAACUGUUCACCCCCUGACGGUAUCUAACCAGAAAGCCACGGCUAACUACGUGCCAG